UGAAUACGAGAUGCUAAGGCGUCGAAGUAGUGUAUGUCAUGCUUCCAAGAAAAGCUUGCACUGCCAUAAAUAAAAAGUGCCUGUACCAUAACCGACACAGGUGGGUAAGUAGAGUAUACUAAGGGGCGCGAGAUAACUCUCUCUAAGGAACUCGGCAAAAUGACUCCGUAACUUCGGGAGAAGGAGUGCCUUAUUUUUAAGGUUGCAAUAACAAGAUCCAAGCAACUGUUUAUCAAAAACACAGGUCUCCGCUAAGUCGUAAGACGAUGUAUGGGGGCUGACGCCUGCCCAGUGCCAGAAGGUUAAAGAAGUCGGUUAGCAAUUGCGAAGCUGGUAACUGAAGCUCUGGUGAACGGCGGCCGUAACGAUAACGGUCCUAAGGUAGCGAAAUUCCUUGUCGGGUAAGUUCCGACCCGCACGAAAGGCGUAAUGAUUUGGAUGCUGUCUCGGAGAGAGGCUCGGUGAAAUAGACUUGUCUGUGAAGAUGCGGACUACCUGCACCAGGACAGAAAGACCCUAUGAAGCUUUACUGUAACUUGAAAUUGAAAUUGGACUUUAUUCGCGCAGUAUAGGUGGGAGGCGUUGAUUAUAAUCUUGUGGGAUUAUUGGAGCCAUCAGUGAGAUACCACUCUUGUAAUGUUAGAUUUCUAACUUUGAAUCAUUAUCUGGUCAAAGGACAAUUUCAGGCGGGCAGUUUGACUGGGGCGGUCGCCUCCUAAAUGGUAACGGAGGCGUACAAAGGUUUCCUCUGAACGGUUAGAAAUCGUAUCUAGAGUGUAAAGGCAUAAGGAAGCUUGACUGUGAGACCUACAAGUCGAGCAGGGACGAAAGUCGGUCUUAGUGAUCUGACGGUACUGAGUGGAAAGGCCGUCACUCAACGGAUAAAAGUUACUCUAGGAUAACAGGCUGAUCUCCCCCAAGAGUUCACAUCGACGGGGAGGUUUGGCACCUCGAUGUCGGCUCAUCGCAUCCUGGGGCGGUAGUACGUCCCAAGGGUUGGGCUGUUCGCCCAUGAAAGCGGUACGCGAGCUGGGUUCAGAACGUCGUGAGACAGUUCGGUCCAUAUCCGGUGUAGGCGUUAGAAUAUUGAGAGGAGCCUUCUUUAGUACGAGAGGACCGAGAAGGACAUACCUCUGGUGUACCAGUUAUCGUGCCAACGGUAAACGCUGGGUAGCUAUGUAUGGAGUGGAUAACCGCUGAAAGCAUCUAAGUGGGAAGCCCACCUCAAGAUAAGUAUUCUC
rnacentral:rRNA from 1 species